rnacentral:rRNA from 1 species
UACGUAGGGUCCGAGCGUUGUCCGGAAUCAUUGGGCGUAAAGCGCGUGUAGGCGGUCCGGUAAGUCCGCUGUGAAAGUCGGGGGCUCAACCCUCGAAUGCCGGUGGAUACUGUCGGGCUAGAGUGCGGAAGAGGCGAGUGGAAUUCCUGGUGUAGGCGGUGAAAUGCGCAGAUAUCAGGAGGAACACCAAUUGCGAAGGCAGCUCGCUGGGACGUUACUGACGCUGGAGACGCGAAAGCGUGGGGAGCAAACAGG